rnacentral:misc_RNA from 1 species
AAGUCGUAACAAGGUUUCCGUAGGUGAACCUGCGGAAGGAUCAUUAAAAUGUCCGACGCGGGGGGAGGGGUUCCGGCCCCCUCCCCCCACACCUGGCGCGGUUUACGCCGCGGUCAGCGUGAAACCCUUUGUGAAACGUCCCGGUUGCUUCGGCGGCUCUCCCCGCUCCCUCGCGGAACGGGAAGGUCAGUCCGCCGGUAGCCCACAGCAAAACUAUUUCUGAUAAAGCUUGAUCGCAGUCUGAAAUGCAAGUCGAAUGACAAAAGUUAAAA